CCCCUCUCAGGGUCGCACCCGGAGAGUUUCCAGUACUCUACCAGUCUCGGCUACGGGAGGGAGUGUCAAGCAGGGGCCUACCCAUCCCAUUCUUAGUUUGGGCAGUGGUUAGAGAGUGGGAGGCGAUCUGCUAUAAGG